UACAGAGGGUGCAAGCGUUGUUCGGAAUUAUUGGGCGUAAAGGGCGCGUAGGCGGUGCGGUAAGUCUGUAGUGAAAUCUCUGGGCUCAACUCAGAGUCUGCUGCAGAAACUGCCGUGCUUGAGUGUGGGAGAGGUGAGUGGAAUUCCCGGUGUAGCGGUGAAAUGCGUAGAUAUCGAGAGGAACACCUGCGGCGAAGGCGGGUUGCUGGGCCGACACUGACGCUGAUGCGCGAAAGCCAGGGGAGCGAACGGG
rnacentral:rRNA from 1 species